rnacentral:tRNA from 1 species
AGUUAUUUGUCUGACCCGCAAAAGUAAGUACCUUGAAAGUACUUUAAAGGAGUUAAAUUCUCCUAAUAACUU